rnacentral:sRNA from 1 species
AUGCGGUCCCGGGUUCUGUGGGGCGCUGCCCGGUGGCUCUGGCCCCGCCGGGCCGUUGGCCCAGCCCGCCGGCCCCUGAGCUCCGGUAGCCCGCCGCUGGAGGAGCUGUUCGCCCGGGGCGGGCCCUUGCGGACCUUCCUCGAGCGCCAUUCGGGGUCUGAAGCCCACUUGAAGGUCAGGAGGCCCGAGUUGCUGGCGGUGAUCAGACUGCUGAACGAGAAGGAGCAGGAGCUGCGGGAGACUGAGCACUUGCUGCACGAUGAGAAUGAAGAUUUAAGGAAACUUGCAGAGAAUGAAAUCACUUUGUGUCAAAAAGAAAUAACCCAGCUGAAGCAUCAGAUUAUCUUACUUUUGGUUCCCUCAGAAGAAACAGAUGAAAAUGAUUUGAUCCUGGAAGUGGCCUUAGACAUGCAUCUGCCAGCAUUGGGGGUUCAGAAGCCUAUAGGCACAUGAAAUUUGAAGGAGGUGUUCACAGAGUACAAAGAGUGCCAAAGACAGAAAAGCAAGGCCGCGUCCAUACUAGCACCAUGACUGUAGCAAUAUUACCCCAGCCUACUGAGAUUAAUCUGGUGAUUAAUCCGAAAGAUUUGAGAAUUGACACUAAGCGAGCCAGUGGAGCUGGGGGGCAGCAUGUAAAUACCACGGACAGUGCUGUCCGGAUAGUUCAUCUUCCAACAGGUGUUGUUUCUGAAUGUCAACAAGAGAGAUCUCAGCUGAAAAAUAAAGAGCUGGCUAUGACAAAGUUACGUGCAAAACUGUACAGCAUGCAUCUAGAAGAAGAAACAAAUAAAAGACAGAAUGCUAGAAAAAUUCAG